rnacentral:rRNA from 1 species
UGUGUGGUGGUAAACGGAGGGGUUCUCGAAGUCUCUGUGGGGAACUCAACCUUGGUGUCGAGCGGUCUGGGUGUAUCUGAUCAGCAAUGACUGUGCUCUCUGUCCGGCUUGGCUCUCGGGUGCAUUUCCCCCACAGUUUACGGCAGGAACCGUUUGGCUCGGACCGAAGGCCUCGUGUGAAGUUGUCGCUUCUGGUGGCAGCCUCGGGUGUCCUGGCUCUGAGCCCGACGGGUACGUGAGAGGACUCGUAUAGCGAGCAACGCUCUGUUGCGGUUCUCAUCUCUCUGCCGAGUAGGUCGGCGG